GGACGAACCUCUGGUGUGCCAGUUGUCCUGCCAAGGGCACCGCUGGUUAGCUACGUUCGGAAGGGAUAACCGCUGAAAGCAUCUAAGCGGGAAGCCUGUUCCAAGAUGAGGUUUCUCACCCCCUCGAGGGGGUAAGGCCCCCCACAGACCAUGGGGUUGAUAGGCCAGAACUGGAAGCACGGUAACGUGUGGAGGUGACUGGUACUAAUCGGCCGAGGACUUACCAA
rnacentral:rRNA from 1 species